UCCGAUGCUGGUGCCUGUUAGCACUGUUCCAUGGAUUUUAAAAAGUGCUAGUCUCUCCGGUUGACUCCCUGUAUGCCAGGGCACUGGUGGCUGCCAUGACAGCUGUAUGCCAGUGUCCGUAAGGUGUCAUGCCUGGCGUAAGAAGCGGAUUCUCCCUCUCGUUCCGGGCUGUGAUUACCUCUUCGCGCUGUUUUUAGCGCUGCUAUUCAGCUUGCAGUGCGCACGUGUUGACAUCAUUAAAGGGUGCUGCUGGUGUCCGGUCAACCUUUGAAUAUCGCACCAUAUAGUGCUCAAAUCCAUAUGUGUUGGGGACAUGAACGUUUUUGGUUUAAAGAUUAAAUGAUGCUCUGAAUGAGCUCUGUGAUUCCCCUAUCCAACCUCUUUAAUUAUUUUGUUUCUUUUGUUUAUUUUUUUGUAUUUAUACUUUGUUUGCUGCACGUGACUCCUCAUCGUUGUAACGUGCCCAGGUGUAUGUGUGGCCUAUUGAACCUAGUAACACACUGUGACAGAGGGGAGUGGUAUGUGAAAUUAACCCUCCUAAUGUUUUAUUGUCUCUGUUUGUGUAUUGUAUUAAUGGUCACUAUAGAGGAGUUGUGAGAAGUAGUUAAACCAUCUAUAAAAAGUGUUUAUAAUUUAUGUUCUGUUAAGCGUCUUUAACCUUUAUUUUUGGUUUAUCGCAGGAGCUGGGGUCCCACGGGUGACAGGAAUUUCUACGGUGGUGGUGCUUCUCAUCGUGUGCUGUGUAACAUCUUGUGUGUUUCGUAGUGUGAUUUGAGUGCACUUUGGUGUGUGUGGUUGUGUGGAAGUGUGCUCUGCUCAAACUGAAUUCUGUCCUCUGCCGUUGGGAGCCUCAGCCCUGCUGGUAACAUUCUCUUUUCUUUAUUUGUUUUGAUUUAACCUUUUGUUAUAAUUAAAAUUGUGUCUUUUCCUUUUAAGGGGAAAGAAUGAGUACUUGGUGUGUCUUUUUAAUCUAGUGUUUUUAAAUAUUUGUAUCAAUAAAAUUAUGUAACAUUUUGCAUUAUA